UAAACAACUUAAUGCAAAACCCACAGUUGGAAUUUCCUGCCUUAGCUCAAGAAAAUGAAAUAAAGAAUAAUAAUAAAGAUUUGCUAUAAGAAUAGAAUUACAGUGUUUAUAAUGAAGAACAAAACUAGGUGAAAGUACUGGCCUAACUGAAUAUUUAAACUCAUUUGCAACUGCAUUUCUUUUCUUUUAGAGCUUCCUGAGAUCGUUGCCUCACUCAGAUAUGAUGAUAAGAUGACUAGCAGAGCACGACCACAUCCGAUAGUCCCGUGAAAGGCCAGUUAACCUGAAGUGGUAGGCAGAUGACAACAGGGAUAAGAAUGUGGGUUUAGCUAGCAGGUCUUUCUCAUGUCUGAUAUAUCUUAACUUGGUGUGAUGUGGACCAGAACCUAACUCUUUGGGGAACUCAUAUUGUUUUGGACAUCAAAGAUGACAUCCAGAGAGACCUGCAGAAAUCCACAUAUAUGUCAUCAACAAGGAGGGUGGAGAAGUUGCAGCUCAUGGUGACAUUGACAUUUAUGUUGAAGGAGGAAUCAUUCUGGACAACAUUAGAUCUGUAGACCAAGUAUUGUGCAAUGAUGCUGGGAGUCAUCUAUGUACUGAACAUGGCUUACCCCAAAGAGCUGAAAUACUCCUAUGAAUUCAUUCAAAAAUUGCUCUUGCAAAUGGAUGGAGAAAGGCUUUCCCCCAAAGUCCUGGUGUGAACAUUUAAAGCUGCACGAUGGAUUUUGUGGAAUAUUCACCUGAAAUAAAAAUUGCAAUCCUGGAAAUAAGCCAGGUUUCCAUCCAGAUGCAUCACAAAAUUCCUCCAUCUAUCCACUACCGCCAUAUGAAUAUUAGAAGUGAAGCGCUUUGAGAUAAACAGUUGGUGACGUCAGCGCUAUUAAACCAUUGCAUAAGAAGAGGACACAAUGAGAUGAUGUCCAAUAAAGGGCAGUCAAAGUUCAAACGAUGGAGAACCUUGUGGAAAACAUGUUGGAAUUAUGAGAUUUCUUGUUUGUUUCAUGUAGGAAUGUUACAGCCUCCUCAUUGCUCCACACGGAAGGGAUGUUUUCAUUUGCCACUAUUUUUAUUAUUCUUAGAGGAGCUUAAGCUUCAGUGGACAUUUAAGUCACAUUUGAUAUACAGUAUAUCAUGAUUUAUUCAGUAAGUUUGUUUUCAUAUUGAUACACCAACUUUUUCACCUCAGCUAAGCAUAAAUCUGGGCAGGGUGAUGCAUAUGUUGUCAGAAGUGGCACGGUUUGCCGUGAGGUCAUCUGAGGCGUGCCCAGUGUCCAAACUGCAUGAGGGACCCCCAUGGGUAACAUUAAUGAUGGGAUGUGUAUAGUGUAAUUUUCAGUAAUACUGGUCAUAUGUCAUCAUUUUACUGAUUACAUUUUAUUUGAUUAUUUAUUUUGCUCAAGAUGUGUUACAUGCUGCUGUACCUUUUAAUGUACGGGAAUUCAUUUUUGUAAUGUACACAAAAUUAAAAGUUUUUUAGUUGUCUGUA